UUGCCACAGUAAUCCUGCUCAGUACGAGAGGAACCGCAGAUUCAGACAUUUGGUUCAUGUGCUUGGCUGAUAAGCCAAUGGUGCGAAGCUACCAUCUGAGGGAUUAUGACUGAACGCCUCUAAGUCAGAAUCCCGCCUGGAAAGCGACGAUGCAUUCGUGCCUCGGCCUCGAGAGGCGUAGCUAGACGGCCGCGUGGCCGUGGAAAGAGCCCGAUUCCGACCCGAGAGGCCGCGGCAAGAGGCGGCCUCGAAGUCGGUGGAUCCUCCUGCUCGAAAGGCGGGGUGCUAAACCAUUCGCAGACGACCUAGUUGAAGAUCGGGGUGUCGUGAUCACUAGAGCAGUACAUCUCACUGCGAUUUGUUGAGAGUAAGCCUCAAGAUCUGUCGGUUUGU
rfam:Ciona savignyi cont_46700, whole genome shotgun sequence.